AGCGGAGGUAGAUGGAGCUUGCUCUAUGUACCUUAGCAGCGAACGGGUGAGUAACACGUAGAUAAUCUGUCCUAUAUUGGGGGAUAGCCCGAUGAAAGUUGGAUUAAUACCGCAUACAGCUAUAUAGUUGCAUGAUUAUAUAGUGAAAGAUUUAUUGAUAUAGGAGGAGUCUGCGGCACAUUAGCUAGUAGGUGAGGUAAGAGCUUACCUAGGCGACGAUGUGUAGCCGGUCUGAGAGGAUGAACGGCCACAAUGGAACUGAGACACGGUCCAUACUCCUACGGGAGGCAGCAGUGGGGAAUAUUGCACAAUGGGGGAAACCCUGAUGCAGCAACGCCGCGUGAGUGAAGAAGGUUUUCGGAUUGUAAAGCUCUGUUAGCAGGGAAGAGGAAGGACGGUACCUGCAGAGGAAGCCACGGCUAACUACGUGCCAGCAGCCGCGGUAAUACGUAGGUGGCAAGCGUUGUUCGGAAUAACUGGGCGUAAAGGAUGCGUAGGCGGUUAAAUAAGUUAUAUGUUAAAUAUAUAGGCGUAACCUGUAGAAAGCAUAUAAAACUGUUUAACUAGAGUGCAGGAGAGGUAAGUGGAAUUCCUAGUGUAGCGGUGAAAUGCGUAGAGAUUAGGAAGAACACCAGUGGCGAAGGCGACUUACUGGACUGUAACUGACGCU
rnacentral:rRNA from 1 species